AGAGUUUGAUCCUGGCUCAGAAUGAACGCUGGCGGCAUGGAUUAGGCAUGCAAGUCGAGCGGUAAGGCCCCUUCGGGGGUACACGAGCGGCGAAAGGGUGAGUAACGCGUGAGUAAUCUGCCUCGAAGCCGGGGACAGCCCCCCGAAAGGGGGAUUAAUACCGGAUGUGGCGAGGGGCCCUCGGGCCCUGCAGCUAAAGACUUGUCACUUCGAGAUGAGCUCGCGUCCUAUCAGCUUGUUGGUAGGGUAACGGCCUACCAAGGCUUCGACAGGUAGCUGGUCUGAGAGGAUGGUCAGCCACACUGGGACUGAGACACUGCCCAGACUCCUACGGGAGGCUGCAGUCGAGAAUCUUCCGCAAUGCGCGCAAGCGUGACGGAGCAAUGCCGCGUGCGGGAUGACGGCCUUCGGGUUGUAAACCGCUGUCUCUCGGGACGAAGCAAGUGACGGUACCGAGAGAGGAAGCCACGGCUAACUACGUGCCAGCAGCCGCGGUAAGACGUAGGUGGCGAGCGUUAUUCGGAUUUAUUGGGCGUAAAGGGUCCGCAGGGGGCCGGUUAAGUUUGGUGUGAAAGCCCCUGGCUCAACCAGGGAACGGCACUGGAUACUGGCCGGCUAGAGGACUGGAGAGGAAAGCAGAAUUCCUGGUGUAGCGGUGGAAUGCGUAGAUAUCAGGAGGAACGCCGAAAGCGAAGGCAGCUUUCUGGACAGUACCUGACCCUCAUGGACGAAAGCCGGGGGAGCAAACAGGAUUAGAUACCCUGGUAGUCCCGGCCGUAAACGUUGUAGACUCGGUGUAGGGGGAUUUGGUCCCCUCUGUGCCUUAGCUAACGCGUUAAGUCUACCGCCUGGGGAGUACGGCGGCAACGCUAAAACUCAAAGGAAUUGACGGGGGCCCGCACAAGCGGUGGAGCAUGUGGCUUAAUUCGAGACGACGCGAAGAACCUUACCUGGGUUUGACAUAUGGCUGACCGCCGGUGAAAGCCGGUUCCUCUUUGAGGCUGCCAUACAGAUGCUGCAUGGCUGUCGUCAGCUCGUGUCGUGAGAUGUUCGGUUAAGUCCGGCAACGAGCGCAACCCAUGUCACCAGUUGCCAGCGGGUCAUGCCGGGGACUCUGGUGAGACUGCCCGUGCUAAGCGGGAGGAAGGCGUGGACGACGUCAAGUCCGUAUGGCUCUUACAUCCAGGGCUGCACACGUGCUACAAUGGCCGGUACAGUGGGCUGCGACGCUGCGAGGCGGAGCCAAUCCCCAAAACCGGUCCCAGUUCGGAUUGGAGUCUGCAAUUCGACUCCAUGAAGCCGGAAUCGCUAGUAAAGGCGUAUCAGCAACGGCGCCUUGAAUACGUUCCCGGGCCUUGUACACACCGCCCGUCACAUCAUGGAAGCUGGCUGUCCCCGAAGUCGCUGACCUAACCCGCAAGGGGUGGAGGCGCCGAAGGAAUGUCCAGUGACUGGGAUGAAGUCGGAACAAGGUA
rnacentral:rRNA from 1 species